GAUGGUGUCUCGUCGUUUUUCAUGUUAUGGCUGAUUGGGCUGUUUGUCAAAAUGUUUCUUAAUUUUUUCUACGAAAUCUACCGACUAAUUCAUGGGUAAAUUCAAGUUUAUUUUUGUGCAACUUGUUUGUGAUGUGAUUUAUUCCGUAUCUGUGCUGGAUCAUCUUUCAAAUUCCUCAAUCUAACAUGUAGCAAGGAACGGGAAAGGAAAUAGUAGCAUACAAGUAGCCUACCAAUCCUACCACCAACUCUUUUAUUAAAAAUCGUCGUUCUGCUGAAUUCAUUAUCCAGUUCAUACAGUUUCUAUUGAUCUUGGUAGGUCACUACUCGUCACUACCCCAGUGUGGACAUGUUUGUUUUUCUGAACAUGCUUUUAAAUAAUGCAUUGGCGUACAAGGAAGCUACGAAAAAUAUAUCAUCUAGGCCAAGGGUAAUCUUCAGGUUUAUUGCAGCAGCUUAAGAGAAGAAUGUGAACAAAUGCAGGGCACAUACCAACAUGUGUUGUAUUUUUCUGAAUGUUAAACACGCGAGCAGUAGAUUCAACAUGACUAACUGUUUGAUGCCAAAGUUAGUUGCCUAGUGGAACUCAACUCACUGUACGUUCUCUAACACAGAUAACUGGUGCUGUUGCCUUACAGCCACAGGCAGGAAAAUGAUUCUUUUCUUCAGAAAAUUUUAAGUUUAAUUUUUUGCGUUGACCCCCAACACUUUCUGUUAAUAUUAUAGAUUUUUAUGUUGAACAAGUUAAAAGUCUGAAGAGCUAACUAAAAACUGUGUGUAUUUGUGUCAUAGGGAAAGCUGCUGGAGUAAUCUGGUGUUCAUGCACAUUUGAUUCAUUUCGAGCCAGCCAGUGAAAGCCGAAAGACAUGUCCAAUUCAAGCUGAGCUGCUGCGUUCUGUCUGGAAGCAAGCAAUCCAGCCGUUGCGCCGUUGAGUCAUUUGAACAGGAAUCUAAUGGCUGUCAAUAGGUGGCUGUCAAAAGUUGGCUGGAAUGUCCACCAGGUACCGCCAGUGUCUUCAGGGACGCAUUUCGGCCAUUUUGUUCCAAGACGUAGCAGAAAUUGGUUGUCGGUUGUGACGUUUCUCACGAUGAAAAUUGAAAGGUGAUUUAGCAUGUGGAAACCACUUUGCCAAGUCAUUCAACUCAGACUUGGAAGUGCCUGUACAUUGCCGAAAUGGCGUGCCUCGUGUGUCUCGCUGUAUGUUCUUAGGCGUAUCAUCUCAUGCAACAGAAAAAAGUAUAACAAAUACUUCUUUAACGCUGUGGGUUUCCUUGUUGCUGCCAAAUGGUGAAAGGAAGAAGAGUACGAAGACGGAUUGAACCAUUGUGUUCAGCAUGCGGUUGCAGUGUAAUCCAGAAGUAGCUGUGAUGGUGUUAUCCUGAAAUUGCUGUGCUGUUGUAGCUGAGCUGUUCCAUCUGGGUUCCUGACUUGAAAAUUUUUGUGUUGUUGUUUGCCUGCCAGUAUUUUGUGUUGUUGUUUGACUGCUAGUAUUUUGUGUGUUCAAAUAGUUUGAUCUGUCGUCUUUUGAGUUUUCAUUCAA